ACCAGGCAGCAAGCCUUUUACCUAUUCAAAACUUUGAGGGAUGUUCGGAAGUGGAAGAUAUGUUAGAGAAACCUGAGUUCGCACAAUCUAUGAUCAGUUAUGUCCACAAACUUAAAGGCACAUCGGACAAUAUUGAAAACUCUUUCAAAUAUACAUAUAUUUGCAGACAUCCUACUAGAGUAUUUCAAUUUUGAUGGAAGAGGAGAAAAACAAGCAUUAUGUAAGCUAAAAAUCUUCGAAGAAGUUUUAAGAGUCGUUUACCAGCCACAAGGAUCUUUCAAUUUGGAAAAGAGUAUACGGAGGUCUAUUGAACGGGGUCACCACCGAAAUAAC